AUUUGUAUCCUGGUCUGCUACCCCGUCUUCAAACCCAUUGUUCACCACC
rnacentral:tRNA from 1 species